rnacentral:lncRNA from 1 species
ACAUCUUUAUCCCUUUAUAUUAUACUGUUAUGCCUUUUAGAGGAAUAUAUUUAUGAUGGUAAAAUUGAAAAUAUAAACAAUACUUCUCUAAUAGUUCUCUAACGGUAACAAAUCAUAGAUACACCAACCGUCCCUAGAGCAAGUGACAUAGGGCUUGGUGGUUAGUACCCGAGGUCCCAAAUUCGAAUGCUAAUUGAUUCACAUUACUAGCUAAAUUUAUUUCUAAAUAAAAUAAACGAAGUGGGUAGCAUUGCUACGCAUCUCUCAAAAAAAAAAAAAAAAAAAAAGAGGUACGUAUUUAAAAACAUCGUGACUUUUGCUGGAACAAUAGAAUUGAUGAAAGUUGAAUUUCGUAGGAAUAUAUUUAUCAUUAACUAUGUUUAUAGAAAACCGUAUGAAAUUAACCCUUCAAUUUAACUAGUUAACAGUGCUGUAAUCACUAAAAAAAGCAACAAAUUAUUAGGCUAUCACAUUCACAUGUGCGUCAAUAUUCGGUCAGCUAAAUCAUUACAAUAAUUUAAAAAAAAAAAAUUAAAACAAAAACUAUGGCAAAUUAAAAUUUGAGAACCAAAGCGCAAUUCUCUGGUGAAAAUUUCAGCUUGGGAAAUUAAGAAGCGCUUGAAGAGAUUGAUGGAGAGAGAGAGAGAGAGAGAGAGAGGGAGGGAGGGUGGGAAAUUAAAGAGGAGAUUGAAGUAAUUACCACAGCUUUGGAAGCCACGGCCAUGGCCUGCGGUUUGGAGAAGCUAACCAUGUUUUGCGCUGCUGCGUUUGGGAUCGGAUCGGAGGAGAACCUGAUCUGAUCUGAGCACAAGAGCUUGGACUUGGACUCGGGAGAAAUUCCUUGAGACCAAAUUUGUGCUCUGCUUUGCUUUGCUUUGCUUGAGCCACAGUUCAAAUGGAUUUACAUCAAUUAUAUAUAGACACACGCAUAUAUUUAUUUUAUAGAGAUAUAUAUAUACACUAAUGCAACACAGGGGUGCUUUAAUAUUCGUGCGGGGGACACGUGGCGAAAGGUGGGGUGAGGUGUGACACGUGGCGGGGGGUCACGUGACGCGUGGGGGAGGAGGAAGUUGCUGGAAGGAGGGGCACGUGACGGAGAUUAGUGUCUUAAUUAAUAUUAAUAUUAAUAAUAAUAAUAAAGGUGUGGAGUUUAUUGUUAGAAUUAGGUGACGAAGCAACUGGAAGAUACUGGUGAGGCGGUUCUAGCGGCUUCGCGAAACACAUUUUUAAGCUAAAUUAUUAUUAUAAAAUAAUAAUAAAAAAAUUAACUUUAUAUCCUAUAAAUAUAAUAAAUUAUAAAUAUCUUCCUACAAAAUUUAACUUUCAUAUACAAAAUCUUAAUAUUUUCAAAUAUAUCCCUCUAAUUUAUGACCAUUAAAAUACUGUUUAUUUUACAAGUGAAAAGACUUUUUUGCCAUCACAAAUAUGCCCCUCCAAUUAUUAAUUGAAGAAAGAUAAAAAGAUCAAUUUACCUCAUUAACUAAUUAAAAUUAAAUAUUUAAUUUAUAAUUAAUUAAAAAUUUUUAACGAAUUCUAACGGUAUAAAUAUAUUUGAAACUAACAGAAACAAUAUAUAAAAGUUGAAAUUUAUAGAAAUAUAUUUAGAAUUCACUAUAUCUACAUACAAUUAACCCAAAAA